GAUGAACGCUGGCGGUAUGCUUAACACAUGCAAGUCGAACGGACUCUUCGGAGUUAGUGGCGGACGGGUGAGUAACGCGUGAGAAUCUGGCUUUGGGUUCGGGACAACCACUGGAAACGGUGGCUAAUACCGGAUGUGCCGAGAGGUAAAAGAGAAAUUGCCUGAAGAUGAGCUCGCGUCUGAUUAGCUAGUUGGUGAGGUAAAGGCUCACCAAGGCAGCGAUCAGUAGCUGGUCUGAGAGGAUGACCAGCCACACUGGGACUGAGACACGGCCCAGCCUCCUGCGGGGGGCAGCAGUGGGGAAUUUUCCGCAAUGGGCGAAAGCCUGACGGAGCAAUACCGCGUGAGGGAAGAAGGCUCUUGGGUUGUAAACCUCUUUUCUUAGGGAAGAACAAAGUGACGGUACCUAAGGAAUCAGCAUCGGCUAACUCCGUG
rnacentral:rRNA from 1 species